rnacentral:rRNA from 1 species
UACGUAGGGAGCAGGCGUUGUCCGGAAUCAUUGGGCGUAAAGCGCGCGUAGGUGGCCUCAUAAGUCCGCUGUGAAAGUCAAAGGCUCAACCUUUGAAAGCCGGUGGAUACUGUGAGGCUAGAGUACGGAAGAGGCGAGUGGAAUUCCUGGUGUAGCGGUGGAAUGCGCAGAUAUCAGGAGGAACACCAAUAGCGAAGGCAGCUCGCUGGGACGUUACUGACACUGAGGCGCGAAAGCGUGGGGAGCGAACAGG